rnacentral:snoRNA from 1 species
AUGACAUGAUAGGGGCAUUUUCUGUUGAGAUCCUUUAAUCCUUCCCAUGACUCAUGGAACUGCUCACCAUCUUACUGCGAGAAGCUAGUGAGAGCUCACCUU